CACAGCAGAAACACAAGAAAACAAGAAAAAGUGUCAGAAGGCUGAAGUAAAACGUAUCACAAAAAUGAGCUCACAAUACCUCAGUACUAGCAGUUGGCACAAACAUUUACAAGGCCCAUCCACCUGUAGCGGUGUCUAGUAGUUACACAUCAAAAGCAAAACACAUCAUAGGACAGUUUAAAAGGCAAGCAUAACAGCAGCGGCUAUAAACCCUAAAAUGACAAGAAUUUAAACUGGUUAAUACAAUUGCUACAAACUAUAGCUGCUGCACGUGGUCAACCCAGAUCUGGCUUCGCCUCAUGCAACAGGACGUUUAACGCAACUGCAAUAUAAAUCUAUGUUAUGACAGGUCAUAUACAAACGCAUACAUAGGUAGAAUUGCCUAGCUGAA